rnacentral:misc_RNA from 1 species
UUGAAAUAAAUUACAGUCUCUCUGUAUCUGAUGUUAAGAUUUUCACAUAAGCCAGAGACUCAGGUGAGCAUUGUGGCCUCUCGUUUUAAGGACUGUUAAAUACCGGAUUCUGUUCCUGAAGCAGGUUUCAUAAUUCACUAAGUGAUUUUGGCUAUGACUUUAAGUCAAGAAAAGUUUUUAUGUCAAUGCUUCAACUAUUCAGAGAAAAAGCUGUUUCUUGUAGGUGUAGCUUCUCCCACAGACCCUUACCAUGUUCAAAUUUGAAAGUAUACAAACAAUAUCAGCUCAUUAUAUAACAUUAAUUAAAUCUACAAUACUGAUCGGUUGCUGCGGCAGCUUUAUCAAAAUAUGAAUGCACUGACUGUUGAAUAAAAAUAAAAAUUUCAUAAGAG